AGGCGCGUAUGGACUUACGACC
rnacentral:miRNA from 1 species